AUUGAACGCUGGCGGCAGGCUUAACACAUGCAAGUCGAACGGUAGCAGGAGAAAGCUUGCUUUCUUGCUGACGAGUGGCGGACGGGUGAGUAAUGCUUGGGAAUCUGGCCUAUGGAGGGGGGAUAACGACGGGAAACUGUCGCUAAUACCGCGUAUUAUCGGAAGAUGAAAGUGCGGGACUGAGAGGCCGCAUGCCAUAGGAUGAGUCCAAGUGGGAUUAGGUAGUUGGUGGGGUAAAGGCCUACCAAGCCUGCGAUCUCUAGCUGGUCUGAGAGGAUGACCAGCCACACUGGAACUGAGACACGGUCCAGACUCCUACGGGAGGCAGCAGUGGGGAAUAUUGCGCAAUGGGGGGAACCCUGACGCAGCCAUGCCGCGUGAAUGAAGAAGGCCUUAGGGUUGUAAAGUUCUUUCGGUAUUGAGGAAGGUUGAUGUGUUAAUAGCACAUCAAAUUGACGUUAAAUACAGAAGAAGCACCGGCUAACUCCGUGCCAGCAGCCGCGGUAAUACGGAGGGUGCGAGCGUUAAUCGGAAUAACUGGGCGUAAAGGGCACGCAGGCGGUUAUUUAAGUGAGGUGUGAAAGCCCCGGGCUUAACCUGGGAAUUGCAUUUCAGACUGGGUAACUAGAGUACUUUAGGGGAGGGGUAGAAUUCCACGUGUAGCGGUGAAAUGCGUAGAGAUGUGGAGGAAUACCGAAGGCGAAGGCAGCCCCUUGGGAAUGUACUGACGCUCAUGUGCGAAAGCGUGGGGAGCAAACAGG
rnacentral:rRNA from 1 species